AGUGAACGCUGGCGGUAGGCCUAACACAUGCAAGUCGAACGGCAGCACAGUAAGAGCUUGCUCUUACGGGUGGCGAGUGGCGGACGGGUGAGGAAUACAUCGGAAUCUACUUUUUCGUGGGGGAUAACGUAGGGAAACUUACGCUAAUACCGCAUACGACCUACGGGUGAAAGCAGGGGAUCUUCGGACCUUUCGCGAUUGAAUGAGCCGAUGUCGGAUUAGCUAGUUGGCUGGGUAAAGGCCCACCAAGGCGACGAUCCGUAGCUGGUCUGAGAGGAUGAUCAGACACACUGGAAAUGAGACACGGUCCAGAGUCCUACGGGAGGCAGCAGUGGGGAAUAUUGGACAAUGGGCGCAAGCCUGAUCCAGCAAUACCGCGUGGGUGAAGAAGGCCUUCGGGUUGUAAAGCCCUUUUGUUGGGAAAGAAAAGCAGCAGGUUAAUACCCCGCUGUUCUGACGGUACCCAAAGAAUAAGCACCGGCUAACUUCGUG
rnacentral:rRNA from 1 species